rnacentral:rRNA from 1 species
GUGUUCAAUUCUGUUUGAUCCUGGCAGAUGCUACUGCUAUUGGGAUUCGAUUAAGCCAUGCAAGUCGAAAGAAUUUAGAUUCUUGGCGUACGGCUCAGUAACACGUGGAUAACCUACCCUUAGGACUGGGAUAACCUUGGGAAACUGAGGAUAAUACUG